UCCACCAGAGAGCGCAUUAACAUCUCCAUAGUCUCCAUCCUAACUAAUGUGGAGCGUAAAGUGUUUAUAAAGAGCGCGCAACUGCAAUAAUGUUGCGUCAAAUGUGCAGAAUCAGCCUGGAAGGAUCGUGGAGAGGAGGAAAGAAGAAUAAGGGAGGGUUUUUUUUAUUAUUUAAAUUAAAACUUUCUCAUGUUUUACUCAACUAUGGAGUUUUUUUUAUCCCUUUUUUUUGCACCAUCGUCUCUAUUUUAAACCUGAGUGUGAAACUUUCUGCGGUUUGACUGAUUCUGGUCUGACACGACCACGUAAAGAGAUGAUGAUAAUACGAAAGACGUGCUGCAGAUUGUCAAGUCAGGUCCAAAYGGAGAGCGCAACUUGGCCCACAUCUAUUUUUACCUGGAGAGGAGGGGCGGUUAAGUGGGCGGGGUCACGAUGCCCCAUUAAUCAAAAAGAGUGACACUCAUGUCGUGGCUGACAGCCAUCCUGCCAGCCGUACGUCUGUGAACCCUGCCCCCCAACCCCACUCAAACAAGAUAACUUUAGCGAUGGACAAGGGAAGAAGAGGAAGAAAGGAAACUAAAAGGUGGGCCGUGGAGGGGGAAGGYGAGCAAACUUUAUUAAUCAAGCACCUCGGAUUAAUUGUUGCGAAGUGUCACCCGUAAAUUCUCCAUUUGGAUUUAAUAA